rnacentral:rRNA from 1 species
GAUGAACGCUGGCGGCGUGCCUAAUACAUGCAAGUCGAGCGAACAGACGAGGAGCUUGCUCCUCUGACGUUAGCGGCGGACGGGAGAGUAACACGUGGAUAACCUACCUAUAAGACUGGGAUAACUUCGGGAAACCGGGGCUAAUACCGGAUAACAUGUUCAACCGCAUGGUUCAACAGUGACAGACGGUCUUGCUGUAACUGAUAGAUGGAUCCGCGCCGCAUUAGCUAGUUGGUAAGGUAACGGCUUACCAAGGCAACGAUGCGUAGCCGACCUGCGAGGGUGAUCGGCCACACUGGAACUGAGACACGGUCCAGACUCCUACGGGAGGCAGCAGUAGGGAAUCUUCGGCAAUGGGCGAAAGCCUGACGGAGCAACGCCGCGUGAGUGAAGAAGGUCUUCGGAUCGUAAAACUCUGUUAGUAGGGAAGAACAAAUGUGUAAGUAACUAUGCACGUCUUGACGGUACCUAAUGAGAAAGCCACGGCUAACUACGUG